rnacentral:rRNA from 1 species
GAAGAGCUCAAAUUUGAAAUCUGGCGUCCUCAGGGCGUCCGAGUUGUAAUCUAUAGAGGCGUUUUCCGUGCCGGACCGUGUCCAAGUUCCUUGGAACAGGAUAUCAAAGAGGGUGACAAUCCCGUACUUGACACGACGACCGGUGCUCUGUGAUACGUCUUCUACGAGUCGAGUUGUUUGGGAAUGCAGCUCAAAAUGGGUGGUGAGUUCCAUCUAAAGCUAAAUAUUGGCGAGAGACCGAUAGCGAACAAGUACCGUGAGGGAAAGAUGAAAAGCACUUUGGAAAGAGAGUUAAACAGUACGUGAAAUUGUUGAAAGGGAAACGAUUGAAGUCAGUCGUGACCGAGAGGCUCAGCCGGUUCUGCCGGUGUAUUCCCCUCGGUCGGGUCAACAUCAGUUUUGUCCGGUGGAUAAGGGCGGUAGGAAGGUGGCACCCUCGGGUGUGUUAUAGCCUGCCGUCGCAUACAUCGGGUGAGACUGAGGAACGCAGCUCGCCUUUAUGGCCGGGGUUCGCCCACGUCCGAGCUUAGGAUGUUGACAUAAUGGCUUUAAACGACCCGUCUUGA